rnacentral:pre_miRNA from 10 species
AAAUGGAUCACUGGAGAUCUUGUUAAGACGCAGAUUCUAAUUCAGUGGCCCAGGAUUCUGCAUUUCUAACAAGCUCGCAAGUGAUGCCAGU